ACGUAGGGGGCAAGCGUUGUCCGGAUUUACUGGGUGUAAAGGGCGCGUAGGCGGGUUUGUAAGUCAGCGGUGAAAUCCUAUAGCUUAACUAUAGAACUGCCGUUGAUACUGCAAGUCUUGAGUUUGGAAGAGAGUAGCGGAAUUCCAGGUGUAGUAGUGAAAUACGUAGAUAUCUGGAAGAACACCAGUGGCGAAGGCGGCUACUUGGUCCAUAACUGACGCUGAGGCGCGAAAGCGUGGGGAGCAAACAG
rnacentral:rRNA from 1 species